UCAAGAAGUGUUAGAUGUUGCUGAUCGCCAAGAUAACGAUAAACGCCGUACACCUAAUGGCAGAGCACAAGAAACAAUUAAUGUCAAUCUGCGCGCAUAAGCAGAACUUGUGACUAAUUGAAGUAUUAAGAAGUAGGGAGCAUGUGAGCAAUGAAAUUACCAAUUUAUUUAGACUACUC
rnacentral:sRNA from 1 species